CCUAGCGGCUCAUUUGCAUAUAUUAAAACUUCAUUUUUCUCAGCAAUGCUAGCACAUAUAAACAUGGGACCAACACAGAUGUCUUCAGCUGCCAAGUGCACAUGUAACAGGUCAGUCAGUUUUAUAAGUACAAAUCCGCUGACAGAUGCUCCCUAAGAAGAAAGA